rnacentral:rRNA from 1 species
UAGGGAAUCUUCCGCAAUGGACGAAAGUCUGACGGAGCAACGCCGCGUGAGCGAUGAAGGCCUUCGGGUCGUAAAGCUCUGUUGUUAGGGAAGAACAAGUACCGGAGUAACUGCCGGUACCUUGACGGUACCUAACCAGAAAGCCACGGCUAACUACGUGCCAGCAGCCGCGGUAAUACGUAGGUGGCAAGCGUUGUCCGGAAUUAUUGGGCGUAAAGCGCGCGCAGGCGGUCCUUUAAGUCUGAUGUGAAAGCCCACGGCUCAACCGUGGAGGGUCAUUGGAAACUGGGGGACUUGAGUACAGAAGAGGAAAGUGGAAUUCCACGUGUAGCGGUGAAAUGCGUAGAGAUGUGGAGGAACACCAGUGGCGAAGGCGACUUUCUGGUCUGUAACUGACGCUGAGGCGCGAAAGCGUGGGGAGCAAACAGGAUUAGAUACCCUGGUAGUCCACGCCGUAAACGAUGAGUGCUAAGUGUUAGAGGGUUUCCGCCCUUUAGUGCUGCAGCAAACG